CAGGACUCAUCAGAGAAGAUUCUUCUACACUGUGAUUAUUCUUGAUUUGUAGUCUGGAUGUAUUUGACUCCUCCUUAUUCCUUCCUGCAGCUAUAUAACUAGAAUUCAUACCCAUGUGGAGAGAAAAAAGGAAGAGAAAAAGAAUCUUUGUACGCUAAGGGUCACGUGCAACCUAUGGCAAGUGCUACAGAUGCUGCUCUUAUUGCUGAUGAGACUCACUAUUUUUUGGGCCUUACAGUUUAGGAAGGGUGUUGAAAAACUGAAAAGGAUCCAAAAGAGGCCUAUCAAGAAGAUAACAUGGUUGGAGACCUGCAGCACAUGAUCUUCAAUGAGAGGUGGCUUAGCCUGGUGAAAGAAAGGCUAAAGAGACCUUUGAUAGCAUUUCUUUGAUAGCAGAAAUUUGAAGCUUCAGAAAAGAGAAGCUGAGCUACAGAGACAGCAGAAGGAAACACUUUCUCUGUAACAGAAAAAGGACAAUCAUUUUCUUGAGCUCUAGCCUCAAGAAAUUAGACUUAGUGGCUCCAGACUAACCUGUGUAAAAUGGAAUAUGAGAUAAAAAAUGGAGAGCUGAAGUUGAAGAGGUACAGAAUGAACCUGGUAUAUCCAGCUAGUUAUAUGGGCAGGCCAAAUGUUCAGGAGGAUAAUGUCAUGUCUGGACAAUACAAAGUAUUUUACUCGUAUCUCAGGAGUUUUAAUAGAAUCAAAGGAACUUUGGGUUGAGUGCAGCAUUUCUCUUUCUCUUGCCUUUAUUGUAUUUGGAGAUCUUGAGUUCAAGUAAUGGAGACAAUAUCCAGGCAUCAAUAAAUGGAUUUUUAUUAUUUAAGUAUUCCAGUGUUUUUUAUUAUUUACUUCCCCCCCCAUCUAUAAAUUUAGAUAAAUCAGUACCUAUGCUUCAGCUAAGUUUAAAACUAUACUUACCUUGGAACUUUUUAGCAAGAUAGAUCUUGCUACCAUCCUUGAACUUCUACUGAUCAGAAGUCAGUAUCUGUGCUCUAGAUUUUACAGGGCGUUUUGAAUGCUUAUUUAGAAUAAGUUAACAUAAUUUUUCCAGUAAAGCCUGUUGCAAAAUAUUACUAAUUGACAUGCCAUUUACCAGACUUGUAAUUCUUUUUUAGAAAUGGUCACAAUAUUUGCAAUCUCCUUUUUGCUCAGUUGUGGUUUUUAGAAUGCUUAAUGUCUUAGAGAAAAAACAAUCAAAGCUGUAAAAUUAGCCUUUGUUAGACAACUCCAUUGAGAAUAAACUCUCUUCAUGGGAAAAUUUUAUUGAAGCACUGCAUUCUUAUUUAAUUUGAACAACGUGAACAUAGCUGAGAAAUGUACUUUUUAAUCCACAAAAUGUGAUACAGUUUAAAGAUUAAGUUUCAGAACUGUUUGUUAAUGAUAACCAUAAUGUAAUAUUUUGCUAGAAUUUGUUUUCAGAUUUAAUUUGAAAAAUGUCAGCAUUUCUUAAACUUGGAUGCGCAAAAUAGGUUCUCAAGUGUAUGUUAGCUACAUACAGCUUGAUUAUGAAAAACACUGCUUAAUGCUUAAGAUUGUGCAUCAAUUAUUUUUGAAGAUAAAUUACCCUUUUGAAGCUAGUAGCUAAAUGGAUGUUUAGAUGCUAUGCUAGAUUACUUGGGAUGUCAGCAUCUUCCCAUGACAGACUCCUGAGACAAAUACAAUUAUAGCUACAACCAGUCCACAGUGCAUAUUCUGCCCCAGAUAAGAGUUCCACAGACACUACUCAUUCUCUGAAAGUGAGAGCAAAAUUUACAUUCCAAAUAGCAAACAUAAAUUAUUGCAAAAAAAUAAUGAAUAAAUUGAUUUAUUGGAUUAACACUAAAUCAAGGAAUAAUUUCUGGAGUUCAUAAAAGAUCGGCAAAUAUAAAGGCUUGGUUAAUCAGGCUGAUGGUAAACUUUAAAAUAUCUUGUUGAUUUUUUCAUUUAGCGAAUUUCAUCAUAAUGUCAUCUGAACAUAUUUACUCCAACAUGCACAGACUGGGCUGGGGGUUGUGAAAUUUUAUUUUACAACCAGAAUGUGCUUCUUUUUGCUCUUUGCAUUCUUUGUCACUUUUAAUAUCUUUAGUGGUUCUUGAAAUAUUUGGUGCUUCAAAUACGACCUGCCAUUUCAACAAAUGGACUGAUUGAAUCUGUCAGACUGGUGGAAUUUACAGUAAAUUCACUGCAGCACAAGUGAAACCAUGAGAAAUUUUGUUGUCUUAAAUAGCUGAAUCUGGAAGACCAAAAGACAUUUGUUCAGCAGCACAGGCAGCCUUCAGUGGACAAUCAGAAUGUGCUUACAGCUGAGGAAGCUCACUGGCAUGAUGCCUUUGUCACUUUUAAAUCUGAUUUCAAAGAACUUGAAAAGAAGACUUGGAACAUUUCUUGGAACAAGCACUUCUUUUCUUCUGGAUGGACUCUCAAUACACGUUUGCAGAAAUUAAAUGGCUUGACUGAAUCAUGGUACAAGCUACAGCUGUGAAUGGCGGUACUUUCAACAGUAUGGCCUACUUAUGUUUUCAUUUGGAACUGAUAGCAGUCAUUUAUUUUAAGUUUCUCCUAUGUGCUGCUGUAUUAACAAGAAGUGAUAAUACCUCUUGGGUAUGUGAGGAGCACCCACUGUUUUGCUUUUGUCAGGCAACUUUUUCAUAUUAUGGUCAUCCAAAAUAUUUAAGUGGCACCAAAAACUUUGUUUUCCAUUGUUAGGCAUAUGAUAGAUUGACUAAAAAUAAAAAAUAAUACACUUGA